rnacentral:siRNA from 1 species
UGCUUCGGUUUUUGAAUCCCA